rnacentral:rRNA from 1 species
UGGGGAAUUUUGGACAAUGGGGGAAACCCUGAUCCAGCCAUCCCGCGUGUGCGAUGAAGGCCUUCGGGUUGUAAAGCACUUUUGGCAGGAAAGAAACGUCGCGGGUUAAUACCCCGCGAAACUGACGGUACCUGCAGAAUAAGCACCGGCUAACUACGUGCCAGCAGCCGCGGUAAUACGUAGGGUGCAAGCGUUAAUCGGAAUUACUGGGCGUAAAGCGUGCGCAGGCGGUUCGGAAAGAAAGAUGUGAAAUCCCAGAGCUUAACUUUGGAACUGCAUUUUUAACUACCGGGCUAGAGUGUGUCAGAGGGAGGUGGAAUUCCGCGUGUAGCAGUGAAAUGCGUAGAUAUGCGGAGGAACACCGAUGGCGAAGGCAGCCUCCUGGGAUAACACUGACGCUCAUGCACGAAAAGCGUGGGGAGCAAAACAGGAUUAGAUACCCUGGUAGUCCACGCCCUAAAACGAUGUCAACUAGCUGUUGGGGGCCUUCGGGCCUUGGUAGCGCAGCUAACGCGUGAAGUUGACCGCCUGGGGAGUACGGUC